rnacentral:rRNA from 1 species
AUCAGCCUUUCGGGUGCGAUUCUGUGGAGUGUGAGGAGCUUAACACCUUCAUGCUUUGCAUAUUUGUGCUCUUGGGUGUACUUGCCCGUGUGGUUGGUUAACAUCAAUUUUGGUGGUCAUAAAAUGACUGGAGGAAUGUAGCUUCGAUCUCGUAUUGAAGUGUUAUAGCCUUCGGUAGAUGUGAUGAUCGAGAUUGAGGAUUGCAACGGAUACCCUUCGGGGCUACCUGUCUGGUCUCUGAUCGUUGCUCUGGUGCCGAAAGCUUGCUUACGGUUAUCAAAGUCGAUGGUCAAUAGGUUAGAACGGGUUAAAUUCGUUAAGGAUGUUGACGUAAUGGCUUU